GAAAUUUGAAUGCUGCUGGGAGAGCUGCCAUUGUUCAGGGAUUGGCUGUGCAUCUGUGGUGUAUAGAAUGAAACAUAAUAUAAAAAUUCUUUCACUCUAUAUAAAAGCAGCACAAAUAAUGAUUCACACUGGGACCUAUUCCCAUAUCAGACUUCUGUGGAUCUGAAACAGCUUCAGGUUUUGUUUAUGUCUUCCUGACAGGACCCUCAUCUUUCUUUGGAUUCCUAGUACAUGGACUUCGUCGAGUUAAAAUGAUGACAUGACCUCACUGGCCAAAAAUCCAUUACUAAAUAAAAGAAAAUAUUUUCACCUGGAAAAACU